rnacentral:rRNA from 1 species
CGUAACAAGGUCUCCGUAGGUGAACCUGCGGAGGGAUCAUUACACAAAUAUGAAGGCGGGCUGGAACCUCUCGGGGUUACAGCCUUGCUGAAUUAUUCACCCUUGUCUUUUGCGUACUUCUUGUUUCCUUGGUGGGUUCGCCCACCACUAGGACAAACAUAAACCUUUUGUAAUUGCAAUCAGCGUCAGUAACAAAUUAAUAAUUACAACUUUCAACAACGGAUCUCUUGGUUCUGGCAUCGAUGAAGAACACAGCGAAAUGCGAUAAGUAGUGUGAAUUGCAGAAUUCAGUGAAUCAUCGAAUCUUUGAACGCACAUUGCGCCCUUUGGUAUUCCAAAGGGCAUGCCUGUUCGAGCGUCAUUUGUACCCUCAAGCUUUGCUUGGUGUUGGGCGUCUUGUCUCUAGCUUUGCUGGAGACUCGCCUUAAAGUAAUUGGCAGCCGGCCUACUGGUUUCGGAGCGCAGCACAAGUCGCACUCUCUAUCAGCAAAGGUCUAGCAUCCAUUAAGCCUUUUUUUCAACUUUUGACCUCGGAUCAGGUAGGGAUACCCGCUGAACUUAAGCAUAUCA